GGCAGAGGUUCGUCACCAGUUCUUGCGAUGGCCAGCUCAAAGCCCCUAUCUGAUAUCCUUCUUCAUAUCAACUC